CGCUUACUCCUUCUUUUUCUCUUGACAGGAGGUUGGUGACUGUGUUCUGACCCCGCCGUACAUGGUGACUGCAAUGCUGACAGCACUGGGGGAGCUGCUCCUCCUCAGCUCUUCUGUGUGAGGACUGAAGAAGACAAGAGACUGAAUUAUCUGAAUUAUGCUUCUGCAACAGAACUGGGUUUCUCCUCGUUGGACAUGGCAGAGCCUGGGGAAGUCUUUCAUUUUUUUUGUUUUCUUGAUGUUGCAAGCAGCUGAUCUGGAAGCCAGGAGAGGUCACCAGUUUGUCUGGAAAACAGGCUCUUCAGUCUCCUCUGUGCUGUCUGGUUCCUGCUGUGGUGUGCUGCUGCCUACACCUGGAGCAUCGUUCCUUUCCUGAUCGUUGGUCCAAAUUAAGAUGUUUGAAGAAGCCCCCUGGCUGAAUGUGGCAGCGUUGAGGGGCAGUGAAGCACUUGCCCAUGUUUGGAGUGCCUAUGGAGCCCUUCUCUAAGGAAAAUCCCUUGUUGCAUUAAUUAUUGGUUGUGGUUUUUUGCUGUGUUUUGCAGACUGCCAGAGUUUUCUCCUGUCAUGCUGUCUGUUCUCUCUCCUUUCUUUCCCUUUUUGGUUUUAUGUUUCAUGUUAUUUUUGAUAUGAUUUGGGGCGUACCUUGGCUUCUGUAUGGGUGCCACUCAGCGUAGAAGAGAGGAGUCGUUGCUAUUCAUGUAAUCCACUUCUCUACUACUUGAGCGUACUUUGAUGAUUCAAGGGAGCCUACACUUUAUGUAAGUUGAAGAACAAAUAUGGCUUCCUAUUGACAAGAGAGGCAAAAAUACAAUCUUGCAGAAAAGUGGAAAGCAUCUCUUUUAUGUGGAGUAAUAAAUAAUUGAGACCGAGUGAAUUGUCAGAAAAUGCUGCUUAAUAAAUUUUGACUGAUGUUUAGUAUGAGUGUAAUAAAGAAAAUCUUUUUUCUGUAUAUCUUGUGUCACAGAAUACAGACAGAAAUGUAGAUCUACUAUUUAAAGCAGAUGUAUCUGUAAAACCAAUAUGAUACUGUGCUUGCAGGUGUGUACUAAUUAACUGUACAUGUUUUACCCUUAAAACAGUUCAUAUGCUCCUCAUGGAAAAUUAUUUCCAAAGGAAUAAUGUAGACUUCUUCUGAAUCUCAUAUUUGUUUAUUUGAAGGAAAGUAGUGAAGUGAGUGGAAGGAUUGCCAAUUCCUUGAGGAAAUCCAUCUGAGGUUAAAUGAAACCCAGAUAACUCCCUUUAUUUCCAUGUCAGUUUUGGAGCAGUUGCACUUAAAUCACUGCAAGUACUGGGAUUCUACUUUUGAAAUGGGGCUUCUAGUGGGUAUGCAUCAGCAGGAAUGAAAAGGAAAAACUUACAUUCUUUAUUAGUGGAAUCAGAGUCAGUCUCUUAAAGUGCAACAUGACUAUCAGUUUACGGCAGCUUAAUAGUUGAAACUUUCCUGGUCAGGGGAGCAAGGUACACAGUGUGGGCUGCAGCUGCUGACUGGGGGAAUCCAUCACGAGCAUUUCCCAAACAUGGCAUAUUUUGACCCUAAAUACUUAACUACAAAUGAAUUGAAAACUGCAGUAAAGUAUUUCAUAAUGUUGGCACAACCUUUAUUCUAUGAAUCAAAUGCUACUUGUGCUUAAUUCAUGGUGUCUUUAAGAAUAUUUUAAUAAAUUCCUAGUUUUAUAACACCCCA